rnacentral:rRNA from 1 species
CCUACGGGAGGCAGCAGUGGGGAAUUUUCCGCAAUGGGCGAAAGCCUGACGGAGCAAUACCGCGUGAGGGAGGAAGGCUCUUGGGUUGUAAACCUCUUUUCUCAAGGAAGAAGCAAUGACGGUACUUGAGGAAUCAGCAUCGGCUAACUCCGUGCCAGCAGCCGCGGUAAUACGGAGGAUGCAAGCGUUAUCCGGAAUGAUUGGGCGUAAAGCGUCCGCAGGUGGCAAUGCAAGUCUGCUGUCAAAGGCUGGGGCUUAACUCCAGACAGGCAGUGGAAACUGCAUCAGCUAGAGUGCGGUAGGGGCAGAGGGAAUUCCCGGUGUAGCGGUGAAAUGCGUAGAGAUCGGGAAGAACACCAGUGGCGAAAGCGCUCUGCUGGACCUGCACUGACACUCAGGGACGAAAGCUAGGGGAGCGAAUGGGAUUAGAUACCCCAGUAGUCCUAGCCGUAAACGAUGGAUACUAGGUGUUGUGAGUAUCGACCCUCACAGUGCCGCAGCUAACGCGCUAAGUUACCGCCUGGGAGAGCG